rnacentral:rRNA from 1 species
UACGUAGGCGGAAAAUUAAGUCAGUAGUGAAAUCCUGCAGCUUAACUGUAGAACUGUUAUUGAUACUGGUUUUCCUGAAUAUAGUUGAGGUAGGCGGAAUGUGUAAUGUAGCGGUGAAAUGCUUAGAUAUUACACAGAACACCGAUUGCGAAGGCAGCUUACUAAGCUAUGAUUGACGCUGAGGUACGAAAGCGUGGGGAGCGAACAGGAUUAGAUACCCUGGUAGUCC